AUGAACGCUGGCGGCGUGCCUAAUCCCUGCAAGUCGAACGAAACUUCUUUAUCACCGAGUGCUUGCACUCACCGAUAAAGAGUUGAGUGGCGAACGGGUGAGUAACACGUGGGCAACCUGCCCAAAAGAGGGGGAUAACACUUGGAAACAGGUGCUAAUACCGCAUAACCAUAGUUACCGCAUGGUAACUAUGUAAAAGGUGGCUAUACUACCGCUUUUGGAUGGGCCCGCGGCGCAUUAGCUAGUUGGUAGGGUAAAGGCUUACCAAGGCAAUGAUGCGUAGCCGAAUUGAGAGGUUGAUCGGCCACAUUGGGACUGAGACACGGCCCAAACUCCUACGGGAGGCAGCAGUAGGGAAUCUUCCACAAUGGGCGAAAGCCUGAUGGAGCAACGCCGCGUGGGUGAAGAAGGUCUUCGGAUCGUAAAACCCUGUUGUUAGAGAAGAAAGUGCGUGAGAGUAACUGUUCACGUUUCGACGGUAUCUAACCAGAAAGCCACUGCUAACUACGUG
rnacentral:rRNA from 1 species